AACGAACGCUGGCGGCAUGCCUAACACAUGCAAGUCGAACGAGACCUUCGGGUCUAGUGGCGCACGGGUGCGUAACGCGUGGGAAUCUGCCCUUCGGUUGGGAAUAACUGAGAGAAAUUUCAGCUAAUACCUUAUAAUGUCCUCGGACCAAAGAUUUAUCGCCGAGGGAUGAGCCCGCGUAGGAUUAGGUAGUUGGUGGGUUAAUGGCCUACCAAGCCGACGAUCCUUAGCUGGUCUGAGAGGAUGAUCAGCCACACUGGGACUGAGACACGGGCCAAGACUCCUACGGGGGGCAGCAGGGGGGAAUAUUGGACAAUGGGCGAAAGCCUGAUCCAGCAAUGCCGCGUGAGUGAUGAAGGCCUUAGGGUUGUAAAGCUCUUUUACCCGGGAUGAUAAUGACAGUACCGGGAGAAUAAGCUCCGGCUAACUCCGUGCCAGCAGCCGCCGUAA
rnacentral:rRNA from 1 species